rnacentral:piRNA from 1 species
UUAACAGGAACGUUGUGCAGGUGAGU